rnacentral:lncRNA from 1 species
AGGCCUUGAGAAGUUACCUAGCUCUUUCCAGCUUCCAUUUCCAUGUCUACGAAAUGACCGCAUGUACAGUACUGACCGUGCAGGUGGCAGUGAAGAUUAGAUCCCCAUUAUCAGUGCAAAGCUGCCAACAGAGGGCCUGGGACAUAUCUUACAUUCUGUGAGUGAAUGCUCUGGCAUUAUCAAAUUAGUCGCAUUUGGAAGAUGCCAUCCACCAGAACUAAUCAGACUCAACCAUCUUUAUUCCUUGAUAGCGCCCUGGCUUCUCUCCCACUAAUGUAACAGCUGCACUUUUUUUAAAAGCAGGCUGAGAACACGCCUGCUGUGGAUUCGGUACCGGGUGCCUGCAAUCAUGGCUGUUUACUGAAUAUUAAUAUUCUGUGUGUGCGUGUGGUUUGGCUUUCGAAUUAAUGUUGACACUCAUUCGUUGCAGGGAAACAUGUCUGCCGAGGGGACAGGCAUUCUUCCUUAUGUCAAAGUCCCCAGUUGUCGGCUGCCCGGUCUUUGAACGUUAACACUCACAAAAUCUCCUAUGUAUGCUCUAAAAGAGAAUGGUCUAUAGCUCAAAUCUCUGAUAGCCCUGAUACAUAAUAAAUACACAUAUUUUCUUUUUACCUGCUUCCUGGCUUAAAACUGCUAGCGCCUUUGGCUCUGGGCAGUGAUAAGUGUCUAUUGUAUGGCAACAGAAUAGCCGGUGGCUAGGAGCUCCUGAGUAGCCUCAGCGUUGGAUUAGGUACAGCAAACGUCAAAGCAUCACUUUUUCCUACCCACAGCCUCAGGGGAAUGUCUUCCCCUGGUUAUGAAUCACAAGGGUUGGGACUGGACAUCCUCUAUCCAAGAGAAAGCCCUCAAAGAUCGAUGAUCCAGAAUGAGAAGGAACAUGACUCCAUAGUGCUGCUGAUGAGGUAUUGGUGUUCACACUUCCUCUUCUGGAAACCAGAUGUUUACAUCUUCUGGUGGGUUGUUAAAACUACCUCAUCCCAAAUAAAAAUAAAAUAAAGCGGCUACAGAAAAUGUUAUAUACUGAGAACAACGAAAUUAGCUAAUGGGGGUAUCAGACAAUCUUUUUUCCUGAUGGUGUGGGAAGUAACAACAAGGGACU